UUUCUCAUUUUUGUUUCAGAUUUUUAAAACGAUUUUAAAACGAUCUAAAAGAGAUUUUAGAAAUAUAUUUGUAUUGUUUUUGUUUUUUUUCAUUUAAACAAAACCCAGAUUGGGGUAUGGACGGAUAAUCAGUUUAGUUUUGACGAGAGGAACAUAAAGGCAUUAGACACCUUAGCUUCCAGAUGUCCUAACGAAGUACAGUGCAACAGAUGUCAAACAUUUCUGUCAAAACCCAAACCUGUAGAGGAGAGGACCAACAACCUGCCGCUGAUUGUUGGGGUCUCGGUGGAGGGCCUGCUCAUACUGCUCCUGGGAGUGGCGUGUCUUGUCAUACACUGCAGGUGGAAGGCCAGACACAACCAUUACGUCAACCGUGCGAUGCAGUACAAGAUGACUCCGGGUUACAUCACAGCAGUGCAUAACGAGUCGCCGAUGGAUCCAUACGAUGUAUCACGAAUGUCCAAUUACGACCACAUUCCAGCCGACCUUGUAGAGAUGGCACCACCGCCCUGUGGACCAUCUGGAAGCAUUCAUAGCGAGAACCAGUCUGUUAGUUAACCAUUAUUUUAAGACUGACGCUCCUAUACUUCGUGUAUAAUCCACAGUCAUCACGAAGGAGCUACCAUUCGGCAAACUUACUCAAGUAGCUCCAUUCCUUUUUAAGAUGGACCGUUCCAA